rnacentral:rRNA from 1 species
CCUACGGAGUGCUGCAGUGGGGAAUAUUGGACAAUGGGCGAAAGCCUGAUCCAGCCAUGCCGCGUGUGUGAAGAAGGCCUUCGGGUUGUAAAGCACUUUCAGUGGGGAAGAAAGCCUUGGGGCUAAUACCCUCGAGGAAGGACAUCACCCACAGAAGAAGCACCGGCUAACUCCGUGCCAGCAGCCGCGGUAAUACGGAGGGUGCGAGCGUUAAUCGGAAUUACUGGGCGUAAAGCGCGCGUAGGCGGUCUGAUAAGCCGGUUGUGAAAGCCCCGGGCUCAACCUGGGAACGGCAUCCGGAACUGUCAGGCUAGAGUGCAGGAGAGGAAGGUAGAAUCCCCGGUGUAGCGGUGAAAUGCGUAGAGAUCGGGAGGAAUACCAGUGGCGAAGGCGGCCUUCUGGACUGACACUGACGCUGAGGUGCGAAAGCGUGGGUAGCAAACAGGAUUAGAUACCCUGGUAGUC